rnacentral:rRNA from 1 species
GCUGGCGGCGUGCCUAAUACAUGCAAGUCGAGCGGACUAAAAGGGGCUUGCUCCUUUUAGUUAGCGGCGGACGGGUGAGUAACACGUGGGCAACCUGCCCGUAAGAUCGGGAUAACUUCGGGAAACCGGAGCUAAUACCGGAUAACACCGAAGACCGCAUGGUCUUUGGUUGAAAGGCGGCUUUGGCUGUCACUUACGGAUGGGCCCGCGGCGCAUUAGCUAGUUGGUGAGGUAACGGCUCACCAAGGCGACGAUGCGUAGCCGACCUGAGAGGGUGAUCGGCCACACUGGGACUGAGACACGGCCCAGACUCCUACGGGAGGCAGCAGUAGGGAAUCUUCCGCAAUGGACGAAAGUCUGACGGAGCAACGCCGCGUGAGCGAAGAAGGUCUUCGGAUUGUAAAGCUCUGUUGUUAGGGAAGAACAAGUACCGUUCGAAUAGGGCGGUACCGUGACGGUACCUAACGAGAAAGCCACGGCUAACUACUGCCAGCAGCCGCGGUAAUACGUAGGUGGCAGCGUUGUCCG